rnacentral:rRNA from 1 species
UCGGCGGGGUAACGGCCCACCGAGGCCACGAUGUCUAGGGGUUGUGAGAGGAAGGCCCCCCACAUUGGGACUGGGACACGGCCCAAACUCCUACGGGAGGCAUCAGUGAGGAAUAUUGGUCAAUGGACGGAAGUCUGAACCAGCCAUUCCGCGUGAAGGAUGACUGCCGUAUGGGUAGUAAACUUCUUUUGCAGCAGAGCAAUAAGGCGUACGUGUACGCCGAUGAGAGUAUGUUGGGAAUAAGCAUCGGCUAACUCCGUGCCAGCAGCCGCGGUAAUACGGAGGAUGCGAGCGUUAUCCGGAUUUAUUGGGUUUAAAGGGUGCGUAGGCUGUUUUGUAAGUCAGCGGUGAAAGACCGGGGCCCAACUCCGGAAGUGCCGUUGAUACUGCAUUGCUAGAGUUCCCCUGCCGUGGGAGGAAUGAGUGGUGUAGCGGUGAAAUGCAUAGAUAUCACUCAGAACACCGAUUGCGAAGGCAUCUCACGAAGAGGCAACUGACGGUGAGGCACGAAAGCGUGGGGAUCAAACAGGAUUAGAUACCCUGGUAGUCCACGCUGUAAACGAUGAUGACUAGCUGCCGGCGAUACACUGUCGGU